GGGACAGUAGGUUGGUCGUGCCACCGGUACGUACUGGUCUCACUGAUUCCUCCUUCCUGAAGAACCGUAAUGCCAUUAAUUCGGUGUUGCGGGGAAACAGGACUGUUACUUUGAAAAAAUUAGAGUGUUUAAAGCAAGCUAACGCUUGAAUACAUUAGCAUGGAAUAAUGAAAUAGGACGAUCGAUCCUAUUUUGUUGGUUUCUAGGAUUGACGUA
rnacentral:rRNA from 1 species